AAUCAACGCUGGCGGCGUGCCUAACACAUGCAAGUCGCACGAGAAAGGGACUUCGGUCCUGAGUACAGUGGCGCACGGGUGAGUAACACGUGAAUGAUCUACCUUCGAGUGGGGAAUAACUGAGAGAAAUCUUAGCUAAUACCGCAUAAUACCUACGGGUCAAAGCAGCAAUGCGCUUGAAGAGGAGUUCGCGGCAGAUUAGUUAGUUGGCAGGGGUAANGGCCUACCAAGACGAUGAUCUGUAUCCGGCCUGAGAGGGCGCACGGACACACUGGAACUGAAACACGGUCCAGACUCCUACGGGAGGCAGCAGUGGGGAAUUUUGCGCAAUGGGGGAAACCCUGACGCAGCAACGCCGCGUGGAGGAUGAAAUCCCUUGGGAUGUAAACUCC
rnacentral:rRNA from 1 species